AAGUCGUAACAAGGUUUCCGUAGGUGAACCUGCGGAAGGAUCAUUAACACGUAUCCAAACGUUAAACAACCCCGUGAACAUACAACCUGCUCUGGUCGCCCGCUCGCAUGGACAAGCCCAGUAAAUCAAGCCCCGGAAAGUUUUUGAUUUGGGACCUCUGUGCGCGUGAGAAAAACUGACAGCGAUUCAUAGAAGCGGUAGGUCAAGUGACACGGCGUCCCCAAGUGACCAGUGAAUGAAAGUGUCGCUGGAGCGUCAAGGACGACACUUCAAGAUUGCUAGAGGUCGACCACCGACCGGCUUCCGUGUAUACUGAGCUUAACAUCGCUCCCUUCCGAACCCCACUUUAUUGCCUUGCCUGUAAGCAUCCAUGUGGAUGGGCAGGCCCCCCGAACAACUGUUAACAAUGGAUAUCUUGGUUCUC
rnacentral:misc_RNA from 1 species